GUGCAAGUGGAAAUAAGUUCUUGUUUAGCAAUGAAAACAAACAAGUGGUUAUUUGGUGGCCUGCAUCAGUAAGAAAACUUAUAGGAUCUUGUUUGAUUACUACUGUUGGAAAAGAAGCCAAAAUCAUGAGGAAGAUGCUUUCUACUUUUGUUAGUCCUGAUGCUUUUUCUAGACUCUACAUCAAAACCAUGGAACUUGUUGCACACCACCAUUUUAUGAAUUAUUGGCAAGGUACGUAGC
rnacentral:misc_RNA from 1 species